AUGAAAAUGAUUUGUUGGAACUGUUGAGGUCUGCGUCAGCCUCAGACAGUCCAAGAACUCGUGUGCCUUUCAAAGACACACCGGCCCAACAUUAUCUUUCUUUCUGAAACAAGCCAAAAUAAAGAGUAUGUUGAGAGUUUGUGUUAUCAUUUGGGUAUGAUUUUUUUACUGUUUUUGUGCUAG
rnacentral:rRNA from 1 species